rnacentral:rRNA from 1 species
UACGUAGGAAGCAAGCGUUGUUCGGAGUUACUGGGCGUAAAGAGUGCGUAGGCGGUUUUCUAAGUUUGGUGUGAAAUCUCCCGGCUCAACUGGGAGGGUGCGCCGAAGACUGGAAGGCUUGAGUAUGGGAGAGGUAAGCGGAAUUCCUGGUGUAGCGGUGAAAUGCGUAGAUAUCAGGAGGAACACCUGCGGUGUAGACGGCUUACUGGACCAUAACUGACGCUGAGGCACGAAAGCGUGGGUAGCAAACAGG